rnacentral:piRNA from 1 species
GAUGGCCAACAGGACUACUCUGGU